rnacentral:lncRNA from 1 species
ACUUAUACACGGUGCUAUGUAUAUGCAUUGUUACUAAAAUCACAGAGUCAAAACUAUUGUUAACCAACGUUGAGUCGGCCUAGUGGUAAAGGAGUUGCGGCUGUAACUACCGCCACCUGGUUUCAAUUCACGUUUUGAGAGACUAUUUACAAUGCUUGGAUUCCCGGCAAAGAGGUGAAAUCACCUUAUUGACAAACCUCUCUCUACAAACCUCUCAGAAAAAAAAAGAAAACCCUAGCCUCCUCCUUUGCUCCGACGGCUCCCUGCCGUCGGAGGCGCCUCCGGCUCUAUUUUCUCUUCCCCUUUCUUCUCCUCGGUUCUCCCUGCCUCUCUGAUAUGUUUUGUGUCCCUGACAUCGAUGAUGUUGAGCAGAUCUGGGAGUCUCUGAUGCUGGCUCUCCGGCGAAACUAGACGAAGGUUGGAGUCACGACGAGGUCUGGAUGGUAGAGCUUGGUGGGGAGUCGGCGUUUUGGGUUUCGUUGAGGAGUGGGUUGCGUUUUCCAGUUUCUAGAUCUACUCCUCCUCGGUGGUGUGAGCGGGUGGCUGAGCGUGGAUGUUUCCUCUCUCCAGAUCCGGUGGCUUGGCAUCAGGCUCCGGGUCCGUGGAGGAGCAGACCGGUGGUGUGGUGGUUUCACUUGUUUGGUGUCGAGUUUUUGUGCGACCUCUGUUCUCUAUCAGGUCAAGUUGGGUCCGAAAUGUUUCUCCGGAGCACGUGCUUGGUGAUAGCCGUUGCCGCAUGGUAGCUGUUGUCGCUCUGAUGGUUCAUGUGCUGCUGUUGGUUUCUGUUCUGAGGCGGGGCCGUCUAUGACCUUUGCCUUGGACCUCUCCGACAAUGGCUCCAGCUCUGUCCUCUCAGUUCUCGCCGCUUUUGUUGUCAACCACUUCGUUGUGAUAGUGGUGUGUCCUUCUUUCCGUCUUGCCAUGUCUCUCUCCAGAUUCUCCCCCGUAGUGUUGAAUUGAUGAGGCACUGUGGAGCUAGCCCCGGUUCUCGGUGUUAGCGCGAGGCGGUUUACUCGGAGCUCCCUUGGGUCAUUGGAGUGACAGUACUCUGUGGGAGGCUCGUAUGAAGAUUGAUCAUCCCAGCACUGCUGUUGGACCCCUUGGCUCACAUCAGUGGGUUAAUCAUCGGUCUGUGCUGCAGGUUAAGAGGAAUGACGACAAGAUGUGGCUCUCACUGCACCCCGGUUUUUGCUGUGGCUCGCAUUGCUUUCGGAAGUCAAGCCGAAUAAGUGUGGCUUCCUGAGGUCUAGGCGGGUCUUUCCAGUUGGUGCUUUUGGAGCUACUAUUUGGAGCAGAGGCGUGUUGUUCUCGAAGAUCAGGGUCUCCUACUGCCGGUGGUAGUUGGGAGGCGUGGCUUCCAUCGACUGAGUUUGCAAAGCUUUCCGGGAGUGGUAUCAAUCAAUUGGAGCAGUGUUGCGGGGAAGCCAAAAUUACCAAGACGUGGUCUAAUGUUAUAUCAAAGGUACCACCACCAUUUGGCAAUGCUCUUUUUGGUCAAGCUUCAACUUCAGUUUUCGGCUAGUAGCUUUGAGUUUCAUUGUUCAUAUGACUGCUAGAUUUUAGGAGUUACUUCUUCUUCCCUUCUCUAGUUGUUGCUUAGUUUAUUUUUCCGCUACUUGUAUUUGUGUAACUUCUAUUAAAAAUUCUGAAAAUUGGUAUAAAAUCUUAACAUUUUUACCCAAAAAAAAACAUAUAUAUCUUAUAUAUUAAAACAGAAGUCAUGACUUCUUUCAUGUAUGAUUUUUUUUUUAAUUUGGACCAUCAUUUAGAAAUCUUAUUAAAUGUAUUUUAUUAAGACUAAUAAUAAAUAGAAUCUUUUAAAUAUUUUAAUCAUAAUAUCUUUUGAUAUCUUUUCAUUUUAAAUAUAUAUAUAUUUAUUUUAAAUUUCUAACAAAUCUGUUUUAAAAGAUUUUUACAAGAUCUUCAUUUUCAAAAUUAUAUUUAAAUAUUUUCACUAAUUUUGAAAUUAGUUUAAAAUAUUAUUAUACAUUAAUAUAUUCAGUUAUUGUUUAUAAAAUAAAAAAUAAAAAAAUCUAUAAUAUUUUAUUUAUUAUAUAAUAAUAAUCAAUCAUAUUAAAUAAAAUUAUUAUAUUGAGCUAAAUAUAAUAAAAUUGUAUUAAAUUUAUCUAAUUUAUACAUUUUAUAUAUUUUAUUUUCGUAAUUAUAAAAUAUUUAUGUUCAAAAAUAAAAUCUAAUAUGUUGGUAAGAUGAGUUAACAUUAGCAAACUAUAUAAUACAUGUAUAAAAAUUAACAUGUAUUUCUUUAAAGUUAAUAAUAUAAAAUCUUUGUAACUACUUUAAUCAUAAUAUAUUUUCAUUUUAAAUAUAAUAUAUAUUUAUAUAUUAUAUUUUAAAAAUUCUAAUAAAUUUGUGUAAUAUUUAAACAAUAACUUAAUGUAUUUUAAGUUAUCGUUUAGAAAUGAAAAUAAAUAAAUUAUAUCCUAUUUUAUCUACUUUUAUAGUCAUGAUCAUGUUAAAAUAUAAUUAUUAUACUAAAAUAAAUAUGAUAAAAUUAUAUUCAAUUGAUAAAUUUAUAAAUUUUAUUUUCAUAAAUAUAAACUAUUUAUUUAAAAUAUAAUAUGAUGAUAGAACAAAUUAAAAUUAACAAACUAUAUAAUACAUGUCUAAAAAUUAACAUAUCUUAGACUUUUGUAUAUACAGUAAUAUAUUAUCUCAUGAAUAUCUAAAAUGAUUAAGCAUAAAAAUAUUUGUAAAAAGAAAUCCAGUUUUGAAAGACGGGUCAGAAUUUAGCAUAAAUUAAAUACAAAAUAAUUUUUAAAUAUAUUUUCUCAUGAAUAUAUUAAUUUGCAUAAUAACUAAAUGCAAAUACAAUAAGAUAAAUAUAUAAUAAGAAGUGACAAAUAGAUAUGGUUUAAACAAUUGAUUAAUUAUAACAUGUAAACUAUAAAAUUAUUGUAUUUGAAAUAGUUAUAUAAAUAUUUAAGUAUAUGAUUAACGUUAAAAAUAUAUACCAUUUAUGUUCUAAAACAAUAAUUUAUAUAUAGAAAAGUGAAAACAAACACCUGCGCAACCAGUGAAAACAAACACCCGCGCGGUUGCGCAAGUCAAAAUCUAGUUCUUAUUUAUUUCUUCUGUUUUUUACAACAAAAAGUCAUUCUACUAUUCAUAUUUUCCCUUUUAUAACCUUUAUAUGUGUGAAAAAUAUAAUGGUUGAUAGUUAGUCAAUAUCUCUUUUAUUAUUAAUUUUAAAAAGCUACACUCCAAGCUCCUACCAAUUACAUUGGGCUCCAAUGUGGAGCAAGUGUUUUGGCAUGGUCCCUCCCUUCUAAGUAAAUUUUAGUUCAGGUCCAAAUUUUAUUUUUCUAAAAUUAUGUUUAAGUAUUUUAUGUUCUCUUUAGUGUUUUUGGUAAGAAGAUGGACAAAAACAUCUUACAUUUUCAAGCUCUUUCAUAUAUAAAACAAAGAAAAUUGAUUGUCACCACCAACGUUGAGUUGGUCUAAUGGUUAAGCCCUUUGGAGGAUCUUGCUCUCCAAAAGAGAGUUAUAUUACAUGGUAUGGGCCUUGCCCUAAGGGGAUUAUGGGCUUUGCCGGAACUUCUUGGUCAUAAAAAAAAAUUGAUUAACAACAGAGUAUUUUUCGGUUUUUACUUUUUUUACCAACGUAAAAGUGAAAGCUUUUUUUUCCACAGGAAGUUCAUUGCUUAUAUAUGAGCCCUGUUCAAAAACGCGGCCGCCUGGCCGCCUAGGCGUCCGAGUAGGCGCGAUUCGGACAUCACCCGCGGCGAUUUUGGUAUAAUCGCCCCAAAAACUCGGACUCAAAUUACUCGGCCCAUUAGACCGAUUAAUCGGCCCAUUAACCAACUAAUCGGCUCAUUUACCGAUUAAUCGGCCCGGUCAUAUAGACCUUAAUAAUAAAUUGUGAAGUAUAUGUCAGGC